UACGGAGGGUGCAAGCGUUAUCCGGAUUCACUGGGUUUAAAGGGUGCGUAGGCGGGUAUAUAAGUCAGUGGUGAAAGCUCCGAGCUUAACUUGGAAACUGCCAUUGAUACUGUAUAUCUUGAAUAUCGUAGAGGUUAGCGGAAUGUUGCAUGUAGCGGUGAAAUGCUUAGAUAUGUUACAGAACACCAAUUGCGAAGGCAGCUAACUAUGCGACAAUUGACGCUGAGGCACGAAAGCGUGGGGAUCAAACAGG
rnacentral:rRNA from 2 species